rnacentral:lncRNA from 1 species
GGCCGUCCAUGUUUAUACCGUUGAAACGAAGAAGAAGAAAACGGAUAAAAAUAAAGUUUGAAACGUUCCUGGGGGAAGAUGACGUGUCAGAAUAUAAUUGGGUAACAAAGCUGCCGUUGAUGGAGAAAGUAAAAAUUGCCAAGUCAGCAAGGAGUUCGCACAUGCCUCCGUGACUUUUCCAAUCUUUUCUUUCUCUUCCCACCCUAACACGCCAC